UGGGGAAUAUUGGACAAUGGGCGAAAGCCUGAUCCAGCGAUGCCGCGUGAGUGAAGAAGGCCUUAGGGUUGUAAAACUCUUUCACUGGUGACGAUGAUGACGGUAGCCAGAGAAGAAGCCCCGGCUAACUCCGUGCCAGCAGCCGCGGUAAUACGGAGGGAGCUAGCGUUGUUCGGAAUUACUGGGCGUAAAGCGUACGUAGGCGGUGACUCAAGUCAGAGGUGAAAGCCUGGAGCUCAACUCCAGAACUGCCUUUGAAACUAGGUCGCUAGAAUCACGGAGAGGUGAGUGGAAUUCCGAGUGUAGAGGUGAAAUUCGUAGAUAUUCGGAAGAACACCAGUGGCGAAGGCGGCUCACUGGACGUGUAUUGACGCUGAGGUACGAAAGCGUGGGGAGCAAACAGGAUUAGAUACCCCCGUAGUCCCUGAGCGGGCUGGCAAGGCGCAU
rnacentral:rRNA from 1 species